UAAAGCAGUCGGAUAAUCGCGCCCGAAUUUAUUUUGGGUGAGGAAAGUCCGUGCAUCCGAGAACAGGCAUCCGGAGAAACUCCGGGCGGUGUGAGCCGGCGGAUAGUGCCACAGAAAUGAAUGCAGUGCAGGUGUGAAACAACGUGUUGACCCAUGAUUAACGGGAUAUGCAGGUUGCCCAACACUACGUGGCGCCCUUGCGACGAAAGCUUUAGCUGGAGUAGCGAACAAAUCUAUGAUUUGACAGGCGCUUUAAUAACUGCAAAGACUGCCGAUGGAUUUUAUAUCACAGGCGAUGGUGCAACGGUGAGUUAAGAGCUUCACCAUGAGUAUCGGAAGGUACUUGAUAGGUAAACCCAUGCCGGAUGCAAGGUUGAGUUCAGGGUUAUAAAGGUUGUUCGCCCACCUGAGAAAGAACCGCUGGAGCCUGAGAGUAAUCUCAGGACAAGACAGAUGAUUAUCUAAAACAGAACACGGCUUACGGGCUGCUUUAUUUU
rnacentral:RNase_P_RNA from 1 species